rnacentral:lncRNA from 10 species
GACAAAGCUCUGUGUGACUAUUUAGUUAUGAGAUUUCCACUUGACAAAUGGAACUAAGCAAGCUGCAGGGAAAUCUUUGGAUGCAGCCUACAUCAGUUUCCCAGACACAACUGAACACAGCUGAGGAAGAAUCUCUGAGCUUGAGAACAUCUCAACAGAAAAUGCCAAAACUGAAAAGCAAAAACAACAAAAAGUAAAAAAAAAAAAAGGAAAAGAAUAUCCAAGAAUGAGGAACAACUAAAAAUGGUAUAAAUGCAUGUAAUGUGAAUAACAGAAAAAGAAACAGAAAAAAAUCUGAAAUAAUUAUAACUGAGAAUCAUAGCAAAGUAAUGUCAGACACCAAACCACAGACACUCAAAACUCAGAGAACACUGAGACAGAUAAAUGCUGAAAAAUCUACACCUAGAUGUAUCAUUUUCAAACUACAAAAAAAAUCAAAGAUUAAGAAAAAAAGUCAUGAGAGAAGCUAGAAGAAAUAAAUACCUUACCUAUAAAGGAGAAGAGAUAAGAAUUAUAUCCAACUUCUCCCCAGAAACCAUGUAAGCAAGAAGAAAGUAGAGAGACAUAUUUAAAGGGUUGAGGGAAAAAAACACCACCAAUCUAGAAUUCCGUACCCUGCAAAAUUAUCCAUCAAAAGUGAAGAAGAAAAGAAUGUUUUCUCAAACAAAGAAAAACUUAAGAAACUUGUCAGUAGAUCUGUUUUGCAAAAAUCAUUAAAGUUUCUUCAGACAGAAGGAAAUAUAGGUCAGAAACUUGAACCACAUGAAGAAAGAAAGAACAAUGAAGAAGAAUAAAUGAAGGCAAAAUUUUUUGACCCAGCAAUCCCAUUACUGGGUAUAUACCCAAAGGAUUAUAAAUCAUUCUACUAUAAACACACUUGCACAUGUAUGUUUAUUGUGGCACUGUUCACAAUAGCAAAGAGUUGGAACCAACCCAAAUGCCCAUCAAUGGUAGACUGGAUAAAGAAGAUGUGGCACAUAUACA